rnacentral:rRNA from 1 species
UACAGAGGGUGCGAGCGUUAAUCGGAAUUACUGGGCGUAAAGCGCACGCAGAUGGCUUUGUAAGUUGGAUGUGAAAUCCCCGGGCUUAACCUGGGAACUGCAUUCAAAACUGCAUCGCUCGAAUGUGGAAGAGGGAAGCGGAAUUCCGGGUGUAGCGGUGAAAUGCGUAGAUAUCCGGAGGAACAUCAGUGGCGAAAGCGGCUUCCUGGUCCAACAUUGACAUUCAGGUGCGAAAGCGUGGGGAGCAAACAGG